AUUGAACGCUGGCGGCAUGCUUUACACAUGCAAGUCGAACGGUAACAGGCCUUCGGGUGCUGACGAGUGGCGAACGGGUGCGUAAUGCAUCGGAACGUACCCAGAGGUGGGGGAUAACGCAGCGAAAGCUGUGCUAAUACCGCAUGUGAUCUGAGGAUGAAAGCGGGGGACCGAGCAGCAAUGUUUGGCCUCGCGCCUUUGGAGCGGCCGAUGUCGGAUUAGCUAGUUGGUGGGGUAAAGGCCUACCAAGGCGACGAUCCGUAGCUGGUCUGAGAGGACGACCAGCCACACUGGGACUGAGACACGGCCCAGACUCCUACGGGAGGCAGCAGUGGGGAAUUUUGGACAAUGGGCGCAAGCCUGAUCCAGCAAUGCCGCGUGCGGGAAGAAGGCCUUCGGGUUGUAAGCCGCUUUUGGCAGGAACGAAACGGUGUCCGCUAAUACCGGGCGCUAAUGACGGUACCUGCAGAAUAAGCACCGGCUAACUACGUA
rnacentral:rRNA from 1 species